AUGGCGACGAAUCAGAGACCCGCCAUGUCCGUCGACCCCGACGCCGCGCUCGCCUACUCGCGCGGCCAGCCCGCUCGCGCGGCCCCUCUCCCCCUUCCGCAUCCCGCGAGCCCGGACGUGGUGCUCUACGCACUCAGCGUGGGGGCCUGCGGCGCGGACGCCGUCGACGACAAGGAGCUCCACCUCGUGCACCACAGGGACGGCCAGCGCCACAUCAAGGUCCCCCGCCCCUUCCCUCCCUCCCCCGAUCUGAUCCCCUCUCGUUUCUGCGCCAAUUGGUUGUGGCAACUUGGAUUCCCAAAUCGUAUAGAUUCGGACUGCUGGAAUUGA
rnacentral:rRNA from 1 species